rnacentral:piRNA from 1 species
UGGGUCGCUGGACGUGCCUCACUCUGGAAGU